rnacentral:rRNA from 1 species
AUUGAACGCUGGCGGCAUGCUUUACACAUGCAAGUCGAACGGUAACAGGCCUUCGGGUGCUGACGAGUGGCGAACGGGGGAGUAAUGCAUCGUAACGUGCCCAGAGGUGGGGGGUAACGCAGCGAAAGCUGUGCUAAUACCGCAUGUGAUCUGAGGAUGAAAGCGGGGGACCAAGCAGCAAUGUUUGGCCUCGCGCCUCUGGAGCGGCCGAUGUCAGAUUAGGUAGUUGGUGGGGUAAAGGCCUACCAAGGCGACGAUCUGUAGCUGGUCUGAGAGGACGACCAGCCACACGGGGACUGAGACACGGCCCAGACUCCUACGGGAGGCAGCAGUGGGGAAUUUUGGACAAUGGGCGCAAGCCUGAUCCAGCAAUGCCGCGUGCGGGAAGAAGGCCUUCGGGUUGUAAACCGCUUUUGUACGGAACGAAAAGGCUCUGGCUAAUACCUGGGGCUGAUGACGGUACCGUAAGAAUAAGCACCGGCUAACUACGUG